GGGGAAUUAGCUCAGUUGGUAGAGCAUAAGCAGAACGUGAAAAAAAAUGGUUUGUAAUUAAUACGCGUAAAACUUACAAAUACACAAAACACUUAACUGUGGGUGUCGUUGGUUCGAGUCCAUCAUUCUCCG
rnacentral:tRNA from 1 species